GACGAACGCUGGCGGCGUGCUUAACACAUGCAAGUCGAACGGAAAGGCUCCAGCUUGCUGGAGUACUCGGGUGGCGAACGGGUGAGUAACACGUGGGUAAUCUGCCCUGCACUCUGGGAUAAGCCUGGGAAACUGGGUCUAAUACUGGAUAUGACCUUUCUCCUUAUGGGGUUUGGUGGAAAGUUUUUCGGUGUAGGAUGAGCCCGCGGCCUAUCAGCUUGUUGGUGGGGUGAUGGCCUACCAAGGCGACGACGGGUAGCCGGCCUGAGAGGGUGAGCGGCCACAUUGGGACUGAGAUACGGCCCAGACUCCUACGGGAGGCAGCAGUGGGGAAUAUUGCACAAUGGGCGGAAGCCUGAUGCAGCGACGCCGCGUGAGGGAUGACGGCCUUCGGGUUGUAAACCUCUUUCAGCAGGGACGAAGCGUAAGUGACGGUACCUGCAGAAGAAGCACCGGCUAACUAUGUG
rnacentral:rRNA from 1 species